rnacentral:rRNA from 1 species
AGUAAAUAGAUACCCGGGUAGUCCACGCCGUAAACGAUGAGUGCUGGACGUUGGCGGGUUUACCUGCCGGUGUCGCAGCUAAACGCGUUAAAGCACUCCGCCUGGGGAGUACGGCCGCAAGGUUAAAACUCAAAGGAAUUGACGGGGCCCGCACAAGCGGUGGAGCAUGUGGUUUAAUUCGACGCAACGCGCAGAACCUUACCAGCCCUUGACAUGGGCGGACGGGGUCCAGAGAUGGACUCUUUCUCGCAAGAGACCGCUACACAGGUGCUGCAUGGCUGUCGUCAGCUCGUGUCGUGAGAUGUUGGGUUAAGUCCCGCAACGAGCGCAACCCUCGUCUCCAGUUGCCAUCGGGUAGAGCCGGGCACUUUGGAGAAACUGCCGGUGACAAGCCGGAGGAAGUGGGGAUGACGUCAAGUCCUCAUGGCCCUUACGGGCUGGGCUACACACGUGCUACAAUGGCGGUGACAGAGGGCAGCGAAGGGGCGACCUGGAGCUAAUCCUCAAAAGCCGUCUCAGUUCGGAUUGCACUCUGC